UAACGACUGGUUCACGCAUGUGGUUUCUCCCAUACUCCGGCGAUUCCUUCCUCCCGGCCAGAUAGAAAUCCACCCCAACCUCACGGCUGUCUUCCAUAACCAGUUCUACAUUGAGACGGGGAUGGGAACUGGAGCCCAGAAUGAAAGUCAGGACAUCUGCAGCGUCUUUAUUGAUAAUAGAACAUGUGGGCUGACGGACCUGGUGGAAAAUGUGGCCACUGUCCUGCACUGCGCAGCACGCUCAAACCUCACGCUCAACGAGGAGACGCUCUCAAGUGUCCUCCUGCAUCUCUCCCAGAACCUUAACGCUCUACUGCAGCAGCUCUCUAUGACCAACUUCAGUUCCCAGAUUUCCCCCUUCAGUGACAUCCUGGACCAAAUGGUUCAUGACACCUUCACAAUGAGCAACUUGCAGGACGAGUCGUUUGUGAGAUUAUGGUUCCAGAUCAAGUUAAAGCCUCUUCUCUCCACACUGACUCCAGAAUAUCUCACUUGCCUCAGUCACAAAGAGUUCAGCUGCCAGACCUUCCAGAUACUUGUUUCAGAACUCAGUGAUAACACGGUCCUGGUGUCAGAAGAAGGUGUGCAGGAUGUUUAUCAGUAUUUCAUCAGACCCUUCCUGAGCCGACAAAAUGUUUCAGGUGGCUGCCCUGCAGAGAACAGCAGCAUCUGGAUUACUCUGAAUUUUGGUGGAUUUUCACAGUUUGCCACAUUGAGGGAAAUGUACCAGCUGAACCAAGACUUCAACGCUAUUGAUGCACUGGUGGUUCUCUCCCCCAGACAGAUAGCUGAACUCAUAGUUGAGGAUUUUGCAGGUCUGCCAGAGAAAAGUGUUAUCAUAAACAUAGUUUUUGAUCAUAUCCUUGCUUCUCCUGAAGACCGUGGACUGCUUGAGAUGCUUGGAUAUCUCAUCAUGCUUGCUGGCCAGAUGGGUUUGGAGUGCUCAUCAUACCAGCAGAUGGUUCAGAGGCUGCAGGAGUCUGUGGUUCCUCCACACAUGAUGGAAACCAUCAAGAACUACACAAGUCAUCUGGAACAGAUGGCACCUCCUGGUACAGAUACAUGCACACAAACAAAACAAAUAA
ensembl:lncRNA